rnacentral:lncRNA from 1 species
GGCUGAACAUAAAAAAGACACCUUGAUGUUCUUGCUUAUGGAGAGCUUUGGCAAAGCUUGUUUUCAGGGAUCUUAACUCUAAUCAUUUUACCUCUCAAUACAGAGCCAGUGGGGAGUGGAGCUCAGAGUCCUUAUCUGAGAGCAAGGAGACCUGGCUUCUAGCGCCUAUUAGGUCAGAGUAAGUGGGAUUUUGUUAUAGCUGGUACUUGGAGUUCUCAUUCACAAAAUGAGAAAACAGAAUUAGGUAUUCCUAAGGAUUUUUCUGCUCCUUGUGUUUAUAAAGUGAGUCCUACAUGUUUCUUAAAAACCUCUUUUAGUAUUUGCCUUAAACAAGAGCUGCAUGCUGGGAUCACGGAAGAGGAGUGGGCCAUAUGUAAGAAAAGAGAGCAGAGACGAGAAUGCAGAUACAUGUAAGAAGUGAAUAUUCUGGAAGAAGUCGAUGGGAAGAACAUCUAUGGACAGUCUUCUGAGUGAUGCUCAGAACAAAGUUUAAAAUCAGGCAUUUUCACUUCAAACUUUUCCAUCCUUCUACCCUGAAGAGAGACAACCUGAAGUUUCAGCCCCCAGGGCAGGAGCCCCAGGGAUGUUCUGAAGACACCCAGGGUAGAAGCACUGUGUCAUUCAAGCAUUCCUGAUGGCUGGAGAGCCAUCCUCAAAGUGGCACUGGCAAAGUGCGGUACUUGUCAGGAUUCCAGCCUUGAGACCACUUGGGCUGCCUGUCAGCAAACUCCAUGUUGGUGUCUGGAGCAGGUAGCAGCUGCAGGCUGUAACGUCCUCCGCUACGGCAUUCACUUCCAGGCUCACAUGCAAAUCGCCAGCAACUAUGAAGAGAAUGCUGGUUCCACCACCGGUCAGAAGAAUGAAAAUUGCAGAUACCUAUUCUGUGUGUUACUCUCCAGAAUGGUGGGUGUUAGAGACCCUACUAAGGAUUUGUGGACUCACUAACAUAGUCUCUAAAAGGUAAGGGCAGAGUUUGGAGCUGACCUAUGCCCGGCCUCUGUUUCACUCUCCAGAAUCUUCUGCUUUCUUCCAUGGUAACUAUUCAUUGAUGCUUAUUUCAUUAUGUCUCUUUAUUUGUAUGAAUAAUCAUAUCCUUGUAUAUCAAAGGUGAGAGAUUCUCUAAUAGAGUUUUAACCUACCAUUUUAAACCAGGAUCCAUCUAUAGUCUAUGAAGUUCCAUAAGUACUAUAAAAAUAAAAAAAUUUAAAUCAAUAUUG